rnacentral:rRNA from 1 species
UCCUACGGGAGGCAGCAGUGGGGAAUAUUGGACAAUGGGGGGAACCCUGAUCCAGCCAUGCCGCGUGUGUGAAGAAGGCCCUCGGGUUGUAAAGCACUUUCAGCGAGGAAGAACGCCUAGCGGUUAAUACCCGCUAGGAAAGACAUCACUCGCAGAAGAAGCACCGGCUAACUCCGUGCCAGCAGCCGCGGUAAUACGGAGGGUGCAAGCGUUAAUCGGAAUUACUGGGCGUAAAGCGCGCGUAGGUGGCUUGAUAAGCCGGUUGUGAAAGCCCCGGGCUCAACCUGGGAACGGCAUCCGGAACUGUCAAGCUAGAGUGCAGGAGAGGAAGGUAGAAUUCCCGGUGUAGCGGUGAAAUGCGUAGAGAUCGGGAGGAAUACCAGUGGCGAAGGCGGCCUUCUGGACUGACACUGACACUGAGGUGCGAAAGCGUGGGUAGCAAACAGGAUUAGAUACCCUGGUAGUCCACGCCGUAAACGAUGUCGACCAGCCGUUGGGUGCCUAGCGCACUUUGUGGCGAAGUUAACGCGAUAAGUCGACCGCCUGGGGAGUACGGCCGCAAGGUUAAAACUCAAAUGAAUUGACG